GUUGGAUUAUCUCUUCAACCAGGUUGGAUUAUCUCUUCAUGGGCACGCAACACCAGUUUCUAUGACAACAGGGUGAUGUGUCAUCUGGUGCGCCGUGUUGCGCGCUUGACAUGAUGACAUCAUCGCUUGGAGCCGCCGGGCCGGGUGCGUGGUCCCGCUACCGAAAUGGCGCCAUUCACUGAUGGGUGUGGGGAUAUAAGGUAACAGCUAUCAUGUACCUGAUGAGGAGGAGCAGGAAGCCCAUAAGGAGCAAGAAGAGGCGGCAUCAGAGGAGGAGGCAGAUAAGGCGGCUAAGCAGAGGAGCUGCCAACAACAGCAAAUGAGGCCUCAGCUAUAUCCGAGUUGGGACAGGGUCCUUUUUUCCCCACAACUCCCAGGGAUCAGCAUGAGAUCCCAGCGCAUGGGCUCCCGGAAUUCAAAAUACCAAUUCCGGGAUCCCGCUGAUUAAAAGUCGAUAGGGGUGAUCUCCCCUCACCCCACCCCUAACCCUCCCUUCCCGCAGCCUAACCCUAACCUCCCCCAGGAGGUGCCUAAACUUAACCUCCUAUCCCCGCUGUCUAAACCUAACGUUCACCACCUGUACCCUAACCCUAACCCUCUGAGGGAAUGUGCCUAACCCUAACCCCCUCUCCUCGCAGCCUAACCCAAACACCCCAGAAUGCAACCUAACCCUGACCCCCCCCCCCCACCCCAGAUC